rnacentral:misc_RNA from 1 species
GUAGGUGAACCUGCGGAAGGAUCAUUACAAAACAAAAUCCAAACCACACCAAAUGUGCUCUAUAAAUGCUGAGAAGCUGUCUUUGUGUGUGAAUGUUACUGUUUGUGUGAGGAGAAAAAUUUAUUUUUUCCUCCUCGCACUCUCACACACACACACACACAAUCCUUCUUUUCAGCAUUGUCUUUGUUUAUCAAUUUUUUCAUUAACUCCUUGUUUAACCAACAACGGAUUACAAUGUUAAAACUUGAAA